AGUGAACGCUGGCGGUAGGCCUAACACAUGCAAGUCGAGCGGCAGCACAGUAAGAGCUUGCUCUUACGGGUGGCGAGUGGCGGACGGGUGAGGAAUACAUCGGAAUCUACUUUUUCGUGGGGGAUAACGUAGGGAAACUUACGCUAAUACCGCAUACGACCUACGGGUGAAAGCAGGGGAUCUUCGGACCUUGCGCGAUUGAAUGAGCCGAUGUCGGAUUAGCUAGUUGGCGGGGUAAAGGCCCACCAAGGCGACGAUCCGUAGCUGGUCUGAGAGGAUGAUCAGCCACACUGGAACUGAGACACGGUCCAGACUCCUACGGGAGGCAGCAGUGGGGAAUAUUAGACAAUGGGCGCAAGCCUGAUCCAGCCAUACCGCGUGGGUGAAGAAGGCCUUCGGGUUGUAAAGCCCUGUUGUUGGGAAAGAAAAGCAGCAGGUUAAUACCCCGCUGUUCUGACGGUACCCAAAGAAUAAGCACCGGCUAACUUCGUG
rnacentral:rRNA from 1 species